AAGACAUAAUAUUUUUUCUGCCAAUGUUGCCAGUGUUUAAAAUGGAAAAGCUGGGGAUAGAGUGUAUUGCCACUCAGCUCGACUGAGCAUCUGAAAGUAAAGAUAGUUGCCAUUGACUACCUCAUAACCCUUAAGCCACAAAACUUCAGCUUUAACCAUCUCUUCUUUAUGGAUUGAAUCUCAAGAGUUUUUAAAAUUUAAAUUUGUCAAGAUUUUGUUUUUAAAAUUGAAAUAUGACUAAUUAACUAUUUCUCUCCGUAAUUAUUUUUCCACAUUUCGAUGGAAUUCUUUAUUUUGCUCAUUACAAUUUCACUCCCUUUUUAUGAUUAAGCUUCAAUAACUUUGUUGUUUGUUAUCAGAAAAUGUUUUAGUUGGUAUAGAAUUAAAGGGAAAUGCAUGCUCAUUUUAUAUAACACAAAAUAAAAUUUAUAAAAAUAAACAUUAUUUUAAUUUAAUGAGGUCAAAUCAACAUUGGUAUCGUCAAUUAGGAGAGAAAGAGUUAAUUCAGCUGACAACGAUUGUCUUCAAAUCAGGAGUGGGCAGAUUUCCUAGCCCACAUCAGAGUACAUAGCAAUGUUAGUUGAGGAAACACACAAUCCACAGUCUAUGUUCUCCAGGGGUAAACAUUAUUGUCUGCAGUUGUAAACACAUAUAGUCUGCAUAGUGAUGAGUUAAACAGUUGUGUCUUAAAAUCAUAAUUAGAUUAAACACAUCCCCUGUGACAGUAAAUCAAGUGCUGUAUUAUUACUAACCAAUGAAACUAUAGGAGCUGUAUAGUUCACAAAAAAAUACUAGUGAUCUGUGUCUAUCAUGAAUAUCAUUCAUGUUUCCUUGUAUGUUUUCCAAAGCUGUUCAUCUCAACAUUCAUAAAUGGUUUAAAUCAGAUUACAAAUAAUGUUCAGAGUGAGAGUAUAAGUUGUUUGUUUUUUUCUCUUCAACUUAUUGCUGACUUUAAAGACAGGCCUAUAAAAAGAAAUAAGUACAUGCUAAGUUUGAUCCAAACUGAAAUUGAUGUUUUGUAGGCUAUAAGCAAACAAAACAUUUUCUUUUUUCUUCCUAGUUAAGACAUUUAGUGGUUUGAUCUUUCUACAGUCAUGACUGAUUGCAAAACCGAUGCUCAAUAUGUAUCAAUAACUUUGAAACAAGGGAUGUUAAAUUUAAUAUUUCAAUGUCCUUAACUACCAUUUUCACAUGUACUCUACGGAGUUUAAGCUUCCUAUUUGCUAAGUUGGAUAUAAAAUGUAAACAAAUAAAAAUAACAUGAGAAGGAGACAUGAAUGUAUUUUCUUUUGUUACGAUGUACUCUACAAUGUACAACUUUUUUUUUCAAUGAAACCAUUUGUUGAUUAUUAGUUCAAAUUACUACAAUUAGGAGGCUAGCAAGUUCAAGGAUGUUCUCUAAACAAAUCAAUGUGAGCAAACAUCUGCAUGUAAUAGAUAGUAAUACAAUAGUUUGCGAAACAAACUGUUAAUAUUUUACUGAUAGAUUUUCUACAUCAUUGUAACUACGUGUUCAAGCAUUAUCUGUCCACAAAGGGGGAGAAGAAAAAAAUGACAGUAACAAAGAUCAUGUUGAACAGGGCCACAUCAAAUAUCUUGGCAGAAUGCAUGCAGCAUAUAUCCUUAGCUUAAUCCUUAUUGAAAUGAAGAAGAAUAUGAAACUACUAAAACAGGAUGUUAAUAAAUAUGUUGUUUUUUUUGUUGUUAGGGUUUUUUUUUUUAAAAAGUUUGUACAAAAUUUGCUUAAAGACAAUAAUGAAAGCAGAAGUUCAAAAAUCUUUCUAAGAAACUUAUCCAGACUGAAUAAGUCCCACACAAACCAAAUGUAUACACUAUAAAUUUUUAGAUGCUUACCUAAUAAUCCAAAUGUUUAAGAACUGUGUCCAAUAUUUAAUUACAACUU